rnacentral:rRNA from 1 species
CCUACGGGAGGCAGCAGUGAGGAAUAUUGGUCAAUGGGCGGAAGCCUGAACCAGCCAAGUCGCGUGAGGGAUUAAGGCCCUGCGGGUCGUAAACCUCUUUUGCCGGGGAGCAGAGGUCCGGACGUGUCCGGGCCGGGAGAGUACCCGGAGAAAAAGCAUCGGCUAAAUCCGUGCCAGCAGCCGCGGUAAUACGGAGGAUGCGAGCGUUAUCCGGAUUGAUUGGGUUUAAAGGGUGCGUAGGAGGGCAUUAAAGCCGGCGGUAAAGUGGCGGGGCUCAACCCCGGCCUGCCGUCGGCACUGGGUGCCUUGAGUGGGCGAGAAGUAUGCGGAAUGCGUGGUGUAGCGGUGAAAUGCAUAGAUAUCACGCAGAACCCCGAUUGCGAAGGCAGCAUACCGGCGCCCUACUGACGCUGAGGCACGAAAGUGCGGGUAUCGAACAGGAUUAGAUACCCUUGUAGUC